rnacentral:rRNA from 1 species
ACGGGUGAGUAAUGUCUGGGGAUCUGCCCGAUAGAGGGGGAUAACCACUGGAAACGGUGGCUAAUACCGCAUAACGUCGCAAGACCAAAGAGGGGGACCUUCGGGCCUCUCACUAUCGGAUGAACCCAGAUGGGAUUAGCUAGUAGGCGGGGUAACGGCCCACCUAGGCGACGAUCCCUAGCUGGUCUGAGAGGAUGACCAGCCACACUGGAACUGAGACACGGUCCAGACUCCUACGGGAGGCAGCAGUGGGGAAUAUUGCGCAAUGGGCGCAAGCCUGAUGCAGCCAUGCCGCGUGUAUGAAGAAGGCCUUCGGGUUGUAAAGUACUUUCAGCGGGGAGGAAGGCGAUGUGGUUAAUAACCGCGUCGAUUGACGUUACCCGCAGAAGAAGCACCGGCUAACUCCGUGCCAGCAGCCGCGGUAAUACGGAGGGUGCAAGCGUUAAUCGGAAUUACUGGGCGUAAAGCGCACGCAGGCGGUCUGUUAAGUCAGAUGUGAAAUCCCCGGGCUUAACCUGGGAACUGCAUUUGAAACUGGCAGGCUUGAGUCUCGUAGAGGGGGGUAGAAUUCCAGGU